CCUUCGGGAACUCUGACACAGGUGCUGCAUGGCUGUCGUCAGCUCGUGUCGUGAGAUGUUGGGUUAAGUCCCGUAACGAGCGCAACCCUUGUCCUUAGUUACCAGCACGGUUAUGGUGGGCACUCUAAGGAGGACUGCCGGUGACAAACCGGAGGAAGGUGGGGAUGACGUCAAGUCAUCCAUGGCCCUUACGGCCUGGGCUACACACGUGCUACAAUGGUCGGUACAAAGGGUUGCCAAGCCGCGAGGUGGAGCUAAUACCCAUAAAACCGAUCGUAGUCCGGAUCGCAGUCUGCAACUCGACUGCGUGAAGUCGGAAUCGCUAGUAAUCGUGAAUCAGAAUGUCACGGUGAAUACGUUCCCGGGCCUU
rnacentral:rRNA from 1 species